UACCCUUGACAUGGCAGAAACCUCCGAGAGAUUGGAGGGUGCUCGAAAGAGAAUCUGCACACAGGUGCUGCAUGGCUGUCGUCAGCUCGUGUCGUGAGAUGUUGGGUUAAGUCCCGCAACGAGCGCAACCCUUGUCAUUAGUUGCUACGCAAGAGCACUCUAAUGAGACUGCCGGUGACAAACCGGAGGAAGGUGGGGAUGACGUAGACCUUGGACC
rnacentral:misc_RNA from 1 species